rnacentral:rRNA from 1 species
AAUUCAACAAACCCGUAUCACUAACCCCUAAAGCACGUCUUACCUACGUAGCUAAAUCAUUCUCCCCCCUUAGUCCAGGCGAUAAAAAAGGAAAUAUGGAGCAAUAGAAAAAGUACCGCAAGGGAAAGCUGAAAG